UGGUGGUGACGGAUGAAGGGGCGUGGGAGAUGGAGGAGGGGCUGAAUGUGAAGGAGAAGGUGAGGGUGAUGGUGAUGGAUGAAGGGGCGUGGGAGAUGGAGGAGGGGCUGAAUGUGAAGGAGAAGGUGAGGGUGAUGGUGACGGAUGAAGGGGCGUGGGAGAUGGAGGAGGGGCUGAAUGUGAAGGAGAAGGUGGUGCUGGUGGUGGUGAGAGUGAGAGUGAGUGGUAAGCAACGAUGGGUGAUUGUGGGAGUGAAGGAGGCUGAGAAACAAAAUUAGCAGAUAGGGGUGAAGAUGAGCGGUGGUGUGUGUGGCGGGAUGGUGUGUGGUGUGGAUGUGGAGAGGGUGGUGGUGAAGAAGUUUUGUGGGGUGAAGAGGGUGCAGAGCGGGAUGUAUGGGGUGAUGGAUCACACAUCUCUCACCAAGUGUUGCCACGUGACUGACUCGGACACAAUAGAAAAAGAGAUUACGCGCGAGACAUCGUUUUCUAUAAAUAAAAUUGCCUGUUGUGCUAUUGUUGUGUCCUUCAUUUAUCAUUCUUUUCGUAAUUCAGAGAGAGAGAGAGAGAGAGAGAGAGAGAGAGAGAGAGAGAGAGAGAGAGACGUAACAGUGGUAGUUACUCAUUUAUUUACUUUUUUUCCAUUUAGUAUACAAUCGCACACGCACACG